UACGUAGGGGGCAAGCGUUAUCCGGAAUCAUUGGGCGUAAAGCGCGUGUAGGCGGUUCCGUAAGUCCGCUCUGAAAGCCCAGGGCUCAACCCUGGGAGGCGGGUGGAUACUACGGAACUGGAGUACGGAAGAGGAGAUUGGAAUUCCUGGUGUAGCGGUGAAAUGCGCAGAUAUCAGGAGGAACACCAGUGGCGAAGGCGGUCUCUGGGCCGUAUGAUGCGUGAGGAGCGAAGACGUGGGGAGCAACAGGAUUAGAACUACCGGUAGUCAGUCCA
rnacentral:rRNA from 1 species